UACGAAGGGGGCUAGCGUUGUUCGGAAUUACUGGGCGUAAAGCGCACGUAGGCGGAUCGAUCAGUCAGGGGUGAAAUCCCAGAGCUCAACUCUGGAACUGCCUUUGAUACUGUCGAUCUAGAGUAUGGAAGAGGUGAGUGGAAUUCCGAGUGUAGAGGUGAAAUUCGUAGAUAUUCGCAAGAACACCAGUGGCGAAGGCGGCUCACUGGCCCGAUACUGACGACUGAGGCACGGAAAGCGAUGGGGAGCAAACAGGGAUUAAGAAACCCGUGU
rnacentral:rRNA from 1 species